GCCCGCCUAGCUCAAUCGGCUAGAGCGUCAGACUUUUACGGACGUUAGAACAUCUGAAGGCUGCGAGUUCGACCCUCGCGGUGGGCU